rnacentral:rRNA from 1 species
GACGAACGCUGGCGGCGUGCCUAAUACAUGCAAGUAGAACGCUGAAGAGAGGAGCUUGCUCUUCUUGGAUGAGUUGCGAACGGGUGAGUAACGCGUAGGUAACCUGCCUUGUAGCGGGGGAUAACUAUUGGAAACGAUAGCUAAUACCGCAUAACAAUGGAUGACACAUGUCAUUUAUUUGAAAGGGGCAAUUGCUCCACUACAAGAUGGACCUGCGUUGUAUUAGCUAGUAGGUGAGGUAAUGGCUCACCUAGGCGACGAUACAUAGCCGACCUGAGAGGGUGAUCGGCCACACUGGGAAUGAGACACGGCCCAGACUCCUACGGGAGGCAGCAGUAGGGGAUCUUCGGCAAUGGGGGCAACACUGACCGAGCAACGCCGCGUGAGUGCAGAAGGUUUUCGGAUCGUAAAGCUCUGUUGUAAGUCAAGAACGGGUGUGAGAGUGGAAAGUUCACACUGUGACGGUAGCUUACCAGAAAGGGACGGCUAACUACGUG